rnacentral:rRNA from 1 species
UGUGUAGGCGGCUGCGUAAGUCUGGUGUGAAAUCUUCACCGCUUAACGGGAAGAGGUCACUGGAAACUGCGUAGCUCGAGUGUGGUAGAGGCAAGCGGAAUUCCUGGUGUAGCGGUGGAAUGUUAAAAUAUCAGGAAGAACACCUGUGGCGAAAGCGGCUUGCUGGGCCAUCACUGACGCUGAGACACGAAAGCGUGGGGAGCGAACG